rnacentral:snRNA from 1 species
GUGCUCCCUUUGGUAGCACGGAUACUAAAAUUGGGACGAUAGGGAGAUUAGCAUGGUCUCUGCAACGGUGACAUGCAACUUAGAAUAUUGUGACAGUGAACA